UGGGGAAUAUUGCACAAUGGGCGCAAGCCUGAUGCAGCAACGCCGCGUGAGGGAUGACGGCCUUCGGGUUGUAAACCUCUUUUAGCAGGGAAGAAGCGAAAGUGACGGUACCUGCAGAAAAAGCGCCGGCUAACUACGUGCCAGCAGCCGCGGUAAUACGUAGGGCGCAAGCGUUAUCCGGAAUUAUUGGGGCGUAAAGAGCUCGUAGGCGGUUUGUCGCGUCUGCUGUGAAAUCCCGAGGCUCAACCUCGGGUCUGCAGUGGGUACGGGCAGACUAGAGUGCGGUAGGGGAGAUUGGAAUUCCUGGUGUAGCGGUGGAAUGCGCAGAUAUCAGGAGGAACACCGAUGGCGAAGGCAGAUCUCUGGGCCGUAACUGACGCUGAGGAGCGAAAGGGUGGGGAGCAAAACAGGGCUUAGAUGACCCUGGUAGUCCACCCCGUAAACGUUGGGAACUAGUUGUGGGGUCCAUUCCACGGAUUCCGUGGACGCAGCUAACGCAUUAAGUUCCCCGCCUGGGGAGUACGGCCGCAAGGCCUAAAACUGC
rnacentral:rRNA from 1 species